rnacentral:rRNA from 1 species
CGUUAUUUUUAGCAGAUAGGGCAUUAGGGCUAAGCUUAAUGUUCUACUUUUAUACUAAUAUGGUUUUGGAGCUGUACUAGGCUUAAAAGUGGCUUUUUGUUUUAUAACUAAUAUCAAUUUAAUAAGUUAAAGGGUUAUAUGAGGGUAAUCUCAAAUUUUAAAGCUUAGUAAUAAUGGUAGAAUUAGUAGAUUAAUAAUUAUUGAUGAAUUUAGAUGUUGUAANGUACUAUAGUUUAUGGCUAAAAUUUUUGUAAGGAACUCGGCAAAUCGACCUCUUAACUGUUUAUCAAAAACAUUUCUUUAAGUUACGNNUCNCCCGACCUCCGCCCCAAGGAGCAAAUCAACAACNUGUCUGUGCUAAGGUAGCAUAACAAAUCAGUUCUUAUUAAGUAUGAUCUAGAAAGAAAUCAAUAUGGGGGGGAGGUCUAUAUCAAUAUUUUGAAAUUAAAUUUUUAGUAAGAAUGCUAGAAUGGCGUAGUGGGAGGAUAAGACCCCAUAAAAAUUUACUGUUAACUCAUGAAAAUUUUUUACUAAGUUCAUUACUAUACAGUUUCACUGGGGCGGUGGCUAAGUAAACUUAGUUAGUUGUUUUGUUUUUAGGACCCUCUAUUAGAGAUAAUAAGAUUAAGUUACUUUAGGGAUAACAGCAUGAUAUACUUAUGGAGUUCUAAUCGAAGAGUAUGAUUAUGACCUCGAUGUUGAAUUAAUUUUAUUAUAGGGUGUAGAAGCUUUAUGAAUUAGUCUGUUCGACUAUUAAAGGAUUACGUGAUUUGAGUUCAAACCGGUUUAAGCCAGGUUGGUUUCUAUCUACUAUCUUUUUAUAACCUCUUAGUACGAAAGGACCAGGGGUUACAGAUUAUCUAGUUAAUUUUUAUAGAGGCUAUUUUAGNUUGAUU